rnacentral:lncRNA from 12 species
GGAGCCAGGUGAGUGUCGUGUUCCCUGGAGCCCCUGGCCCUGCCCCCAGGGCUUUGGUCCUAGCGGGGGUCAGAAGCAGGAGCACCCCCAGGCUCCCCCUCAGAGCCCACCUGCUAGCUUCUCCCUGCUUCUCUAGGAAGGAGCACAGCUGACAAGGCAUCGCCUUUAUUCCUGCUGCUCUGCUUCCUGAUGCAACCUCAUGGCUCUCACCUCACUAUUUAUACUCAAAGUACGGCCCUCGGAAUUCCAAGGAAAACCUUUUCUCACUCAACAGAGCCUAGAUCUUAUAAAUCAAAAGCGUUUCAGCUUUCAGACUAAUGCCUUAGUCAUACAAGUACAAAAGUAUUCAAGAUCUCAAAAGUCAAGAAAAUGACUUUUUCUUCCCUGAGGCAAAGCCUCUGACGUACAAACAGGAAUGAUGAAGAGCUAUUCGGGAGACGGAGGAGGAGCGGGGAAGAGGAGGGUGAGGAGGAGGAGGAAGAGGAGGAGGAGGAGGAGGAUAGAGAGGAGAGGGGAGGAGAGAAGGAAGAGGAGGAGGAGGGGGAGGAAGGAAAGGGGGAAGAAGGAGGAGGGUGGGGAGGGGGAUGGGGAGGAGUACAUGGAGGUAGUACCUGGGAGCAUGUUCCGUUUCCUGCAUCCCUCACGUGGCCUCCCACAGCCUCAGAGCCCCGGCCUCCUUGUCACCCCCAGCACCUGCCCCUUCCUACCACUUCGCCCACACACGCCCACUGUCUACUGGCCAGUCCUCCCAGGUUCCCCAUCUCCCCACCUGCUGGGGGGCCUGGCAGCAGAACAGGAUGAAAUAUGAAUCAUUCGCUACCUCUGACCAGGCAACAAGCACGCUCACAGGAAAGCUCAUUGUGAGCCAGCAAGAGGCAUCUAAAUGUCACAGAUGAGGCUCGUGAUGGGGACUCGAAAGGUGGCCAGCAAGCCUUCCCUGGAGACCAAAGCCAUCCUCGCCGCAGUCCCUGCCUGCCCCACCGCGGGAGGCUGCCAGGGCUCCUGUUCACCCGAGACGCCUCGCCACCUGCUGGGACGCGCAGCACGGAGGGAGCAGACCACAGGCUCCGCUGCUAGAGUUGCCCCCGCUCACGGGGCACCGGGAGCCCAUGCGUCUCCCUGAGCUGAAACGUAUGGACUUCAGCAGGACCGAGGCCGGGCUUCCUCCCUGCGUUUUUGGGGGGCCUCGUGAAGCACACGCCUGGGAUUUCUCUCUGCUCCCUGGGUGCUCAUCCUGUGUGGGAGCAAGGUGAAGUCUUGGUGUUGAACGUGGUUCUAGAUCCGGGUUUGAAUCCGGGUAAGCCUCCAAUACUUACCCUGCUCCCCUCUCAAGCAGGUGGUUGGUCACCUUACAAGGAUUUUGUCCCAGCUGGGCCUUCAGUGGAUGGUGCCCGGCUCUUUGUCUCUUACCAGAUUUGGAGCUGGGGUAUGCAGGGAGCGGGGAGGUGUUGGAAAAUGAGGGAAGAUCCUGAUUAUAACAGAGGCAGAACUCCUAAGACCAGCGACUCUGGGAUCUCUCACUGUUGGUUUGUAUUCAUGACGCUCUCUGAGGAGGAACGCCCCAGAGAAAACACCCCCUCUUCCCCAAAGCAGAAUGCCAUUCACAGGGGAGUUUGGGAUGGGGACUACAUGGGAUGGUCUCCAACUGACGAUGUUCUAACUGAUGAUUUUUUGACUUCAUGAUGUUUGCAUUUCGGUAUAAACUACUGGAAUUUUGAAUCUGGAUCUUGUCCCAGGCUAGCAACAUGCUGUCUGGUCCUCUCUUGUGAUGCUGGCCAGUGGCCCCGGGGCCUUAGCACCUGUCAGUCAGGCGAUCAUGAGGGAAAACAGGUGACACAGUGACAGCCAUUUAUACCCGAGAACCACACUGGUGUUCACUUUCAGUACAGCACUCAGUAAGCCACACGAGCUGUUCAAGAUGUCAUAAGAUGGGCUUCGAGUGAGAUGGCUUUGCCCGACCGUGGGCUGAUGCCUGACCAUGGGCUGAUGUACAUGCUCCGAGCAUGUCAGAGGGUGGCUCAGCCAACCUAGUAUGUUAGGUUAGGUGUCUGAAACGCAUUUGCGACUUACCAGUAUUUUCAGCUUAUGGCAGGUUUAUCGGGAUGAAACCCCAUCCUAAGCUGAGAUGAGGAUCUACAUGUGAAAAUGCAAGCAGAACGAGUCAAAAAUAUAUCAGAUGCAACUACGGUAAAGCUUAGAAGGAUACUCAUAGCUUUAAAUGCUUAUCUUAGAAAAAAAGAAAAAAAAAUGAAAUCAAUAACCUAAGUGUUCACAAAGAGAAUCUUGGAAAAUAAGAGCAAACUAAAUCCGAGGCAAGCGGAAGAAAUUAAAUCAUAAAUACUGGCGUGAAAGUCAGUGACACUGAAACAGGAAAACAAGAGAAAAUCAAUUAAAUCAAAAGCCAUUUGUCUGAAAACCAGCAAAAUUGGCAAACCUCAAGCUAGAUUAAACAGAGUAAGUGAGGAAAGACACAGAUCACCGAAACCAUGAACGAAGGAGAGGAAAUCGCCACUGACGGCUCAGAAAUAAAAAAGACUACAAGGGAAGACUGCA